GACGAACGCUGGCGGCGUGCUUAACACAUGCAAGUCGAACGAAGUGGCGAACGGGUGAGUAACGCGUAAUCAACCUGCCCUUCAGAGGGGGACAACAGUUGGAAACGACUGCUAAUACCGCAUACUGAAGGAGGGGCUUGCGUCUGAUUGGCUAGGUGGAGGGGUAACGGCCACCCAAGGCGAUGAUCAGUAGCCGGUCUGGGAGGGUGAACGGCCAAAUUGGGAACGGGACACGGGCCAGACUCCUACGGGAGGCAGCAGGUGGGAAUCUUCCGCAAUGGACGAAAGUCUGACGAGGCAACGCCGCGGGAGUGAUGACGGCCUUCGGGUUGUAAAGCUCUGUUAGUCGGGACGCGGUACCGGAAUAGAAAGCCACGGCUAACUACGUGCCAGCAGCCGCGGUAAUUC
rnacentral:rRNA from 1 species